GUACUACUGAGGAGCCCCAAAGCGGGACGAAACAGCUGUCCAGUAC
rnacentral:hammerhead_ribozyme from 1 species